AACUUCCCCCCGAUAUCCAACCUAAAUCUUCCCUCCUUCAACUUAAAACCACCUCCCCUUGUCCUGCUGUUAUCUACCCUUUCAAAGAGUUGACUCCCCUCCUCUUUAUAGGUUCCCUAUAAUAGAAAAAUUGAUCUCUGGUCUUAUUUGACUGAAGUAAGCUUUUCAUAUUUAAAGAAAAUGCUUACUUUUCUCCUCUCUUGUAGAUCACAUGAUUUUUGUUUCCCUUGAGAACUCAUCUGGAGUUGGCAUUUUCCUAAUUCUUGAACUGGAAUGCAGAGUUAUCUACUAAAUAUGAAGAGUAAAAUAGGAAAAUGCUGAUUUCUUGAGGGCUGACAGAAAAGCAUUAACAAGAGUUUUAAUAAGUUGUUGCCGUGUGCUCUACUUUUCCUUAUAUGAAUAAAUAUAUAAGGCAUUAGGUGUUUUUUUAUAGUCUUGAUUUUCUGUAUGCCUAUCAUAGUAUGUGAGAUAGUUUGGGGUUUGUUUGUUAUAAUUUAAGUUUAGUUUGGCUUCCUAACAAGUAUGCAUUUUGCAGAGCAUUUGUGUUCUGACAGUCUGAGUCUGGAUAUCUCAAACAAUUCCAGGGUAGCAAUGAAUUGGUUUCCUUUGAUUCUAUUUCUUUUUUCCUUCCUUCCGUUUAUUUUUUUAUUUUUUAUUUUAUUUUUCUUCUGGUGACGUUUUUUUUUCUCUUCCCUUAUACCAAUUGUUACAAUGUGUUCUCAGCUAAAUUUGCUUUGUCUUGCUAAACCUCUGUACUUCCUAGUUUUCACUCCUUUAUAGUUGUAAUGCAACUAUCAGAAAAAAUUAAUGAAUGUUGAAAAUGCUGAGGAUUUUUUCCUUUGGUUUGUCAAAGUAGCAUAAACUAAACAAUACAGAAAUCUCCAUCAGGCUGCUAACAUUUCAGUUACUUCUUCCAUUGUAUGAGGGCUUAUGUUUCGUUGUCCAUCUAUUUUUUUUUUACUCUGAGAGUAUGAAGAAUGAACAGAAAGUAAAAUCAAACUGCAAUGUAAAGUAAAAAUACUUUGUAAUUUUUAGCAAGGAUCCUAUUGUAUAUUUGUAGUGAGAUACUAACAAAGAACAUUUUGGGCUUUUAUAGAAUGUGAAGCUGAAGCAUUUAUUUAUAAGAAGUUUGGCACCCAUGUAGCUGAUCUUAGUGAUUUCCAUCACACAGAUUGUCAGGACUUCAGUGUUCUAACACCACUUAUUUCUUUAACUUUGCAUCCCCAAUGAGUAAUUUACUUUUUUAUUUUUUUAUUUUUUUAAUUUAGAAUCAGUUUAGGUCUUUAUUGAACAUGACAAAAAGUACCCCAAACCAAAAGCAGUGUCUUUCAUCCUCUCAGUUUUAAAAAUGAACAGUAUUUUGAGGGUACCUAGUGGUAGAAAAGAUGGAUGGAAAAUGAAUGAUUGACAGCAGCAGUAUUUUAAAUGGUAAGUCCCUAACUUUUUGAUAGUCCAUUUGUUUCAGGUGACAGUGUUUUGUGACCUUGCUUGUACUUAUCUGCUACAUCAACUUUUGUUGGUGCCAUUAUUUUUUUUCUGUUGUCAGUCUGCUUUAUUCCUUGACUCCUACGUGAGAAGUGGCAGGAAAGUAAAAUAAAACUUGUGGCUUUGUUUAAAUGAAGGCUACUGUCGCAGAGUAGUUACUCAAGAUUUGUUUUCUGGACCCAGAUUUAUGUAUCUACUCAUAGUCAUCAUUAUUUUCUUGUUUUGAUACUACUUUUAAAGUACAGUUAAUUUACUAAUGAACUCUGAUUUAAGCAAGUUCUACUUUUCAUUCAGCUGCAUUUUCCUCUUAAAAGAGAAUUAGAUUUGCCUUCUUGAUGUGUUUGUUUGUGCCUCAUGCUUCAGUAGACAGAGAAAUGCUUCAUGCUGACAAGGAUCUGCAGAAAUGGCAUGAUAGGUAAGGGUCCUUGCUUUGUUUUUCCAUAAUUCCUCUAUCAAACUGAAAAGCCAUACUGCAUUAACUAUGAGCUGAACCUCACUUGUGGGAAUCAGGUUGUUUUCUAGCUAGUAAAAUACAGCCACAAAUUAUUUCGAAGCCAACCGUUCCAUUAGUUGUGCAGUUUUCUUUAUGUUCUCACCAACAUAAGCAAAAUGAUGAAGCGUAUUGUGUUCAGGACUGCCUAACUUGAGCUGGUAGGCUACAGUUUAGUAAACAAUUCAAUAUUUCCUGAGAUGGGAACUGCAGCUCAUCACUUCUAGCUCUGUGAGCUUAAAAAAGGCUCCAAAACAUUGCCAUUCAAGAAAAUAGGCUUCUGAAUUAACAUAGUAAAUAAAUAAAUCUGUUGAGUAGGAUGUUGACAUACAUAUUCUCUAGUUUCUAGAGUUGUUACUUUAAUGUUUAAAACCACAAAGCAGUAUAAGAAAAUAAUGUAACUAUAUGAGAAAAUAGCAAGAUUGCUAGAGAAUACAGUGAACUGUUAGACAAAUUGUUAUGGGAUGAAAGGAACAUACUUUCCAGAUCUAGAAACUUUUCUGUCCGAUGAAGUCUUGCAGUUACAUCUAAGUGUAAAACAUUUCCCCAGGUCCCUUUAUAAUAGUUGUUGCUGCUUUUUCACAGCUGGAAAAACAAGGGUGAGAUAAGCGAUUUACCCAGACCUCUGAAACAGGUCAGUAGAGUAUAAGGGUUACACUUCAGUAGUCUUUACUCUGAGCCACGUGUAUAUUUACGUCUGUGUUACUUCAGGUUGGAAAAAUGCUCUUAGCAAGUUCAUGUUCUCAGUGUGACUUAUUCCUUUCAUAUCUAAUCUCUCUGUCUUCAGCAACAGGACACAGUGACCCCUUCAUGACUACUGCUCUGCAGUAAUGCCCUGCUUUAAGUCGUAGAAAACUUUUCCCUGAAAAUCAGUCUGCCUCCGCCUUUGUGUAAUUUCAUGGCUUCCUGAUAAAUAUGCUUGCUCAGUUUUUUUGUUCUCCUUGUGUAUGUUCACAUAUGAAUUUGCAGUGUGUUACAUGUCUCUUCAUGGGUACUGAGAUUCUUUGGGGAGCAAAGCUAAAGGAUGCACAUGAACUUUUUUUAAAAAAACUCAGUCUCAUGCAGCUUUCCUUCCUAAAGUUUUAUUUCUUAGAGCUACUUGGUUAUGAGACUAUGAUAAGACAUAAUUGUUAACUUAGUCUGUUCUGGUACAAACAUACUUAUUUCUUCUUUUUCUUGCUCAUUGUUCUGUUGUUCCCUUCCUGAAUGCAUGGUCAAGAUGUAACAUCUGUGAGUUAAAAUGAGAAACGUUCUUCCAGAGCUAAAUGCUUCUAAAAAACUUCCUGCUGGACAUUCUAAAGCAGAUCAUUGGAGGCAUACAGGGGUACAUAAAAGGUAUAUUUAAAGAGAAAUCAGUGGGUUUCCCUGGAACAUACAACUUGAACAAUCUGCAGUGUACAACGUGACUACAGGUUUUGUCUUGCCAAAAGGAGAUCAGAUACUCAGUGAUAGUACCCUUAUAGUUUUAAGCCCUGCUCCACACCUGAUAUACUAGAACAUUAACAACAUUUGUGGAUUUACAAUAAUUUUUCUUUUUAACUAAUAAGAAACAAGCAAUAGAGGAGCUGACAUACACAGCAGUCUGUGCAGAAGCAGCAUUAAGGAGAAGCAAUCUGGAUGUCUGUUCUCUCUUGACAGCAUGAGGAUUACCACAGACAUUUCACUAGCAAUCUUCACAAACUGAUGUGAUACAUGCAGCAUUUGCUGGAAGUCUUCAGGAAGUCUCCUUCCAUGACUGGAACUUUGUUAAGAAGAGUUGAGGUACUUAGCAGUCUAAGUGCAGGAUGAGUGGUUUGAGCUUGUCACGACACUGCAGCUUGUUGGCCUGCCCUCUGCAAGAGUGCAGCAAGAAGCAAGUUCUUCAUAAUGCAAGUUGAGCCAGCCUAGGAUUGCCCUGGAGAUGGAUCUUCCCAGCACACAUGCUGCAGUCAUUGCAGUGUUCAUGUGGAGCAGUCAGAGCUCAGCAACAAGUGCUGAGAUAUUCCAUGCAGGACCUAAUACUGGGCUUCCUGAAAUGAAGCAGAACUGUUAUAACUGCUGCAUGAAGGCACCUUCCCAGAAGAGAAACAGUCCAAAGUCUGCAGUUUCCAAUGAAAUGCUGUCUGAGAAUGGCUGGAAAAGAAGUCCAGUAGGAGGAAGACCAUCAUCUCUUCUUGAACAUGACUUAUCAUCCUCUCAUCAAAGCUAGAGAAGCCUUCUCAUCACGUAACAGCAAAAGGAGGAAGAGUGGAUUCAACACAUGAGCUGCUACCUGCACUGCAUAUUCUACAAUGUACUGAUAAGAAGCCUGAAAAUUAGUACUACGAGCCAGUAGGAAAACAAGAAUUUUUCAGUUCAUUAGACCUUCAUACAGCCCCAUCUGAGGGCAAAAGACAAUCCAAAUAUGUUUAAUGCUAACAUUACUUUAUCUGAGGAUAGUUUUUAUUAUAUUAUAUGCAUGAUAUUUAUUAUAUGCAAACUUUAUUGUUUUUUUCCCCCCUUGCUUAGUAUUUACAAAUGCAUUCUUUCAAGAUGUAAGGUAUUCCUGCAUGUUCAGUGGGACCUUUGCUUAACUAGAGCUUUCCUUUAGCAUUUGUACUGCUGAUGAUAUCUCCCUUCUUUUCCGUGCAUCUUGUCUUGUAGGAGCAUACUCUCCCUCCCCCACAUCGACCCUAAAAUCUGUUCAAGGUGAAGUUAGAGGAAGAAAUAGCAAAAAGAAGCAAGGGAUAUAGCCAACCUUUUUAAUUAGAGUAUAUUGUACUUCCAAACUGGAUACACUAUAAAUUGGCAAUGCAACAUAAGAUGCAAAGGAAUAUACCAGUUACUGUCAAAAUGACCCUGUACAGCCUUAUAAUGCAAAAAGCUUUAUACAAUACAAACUUUUAAUAAUGUACACAGACCUCAACAGAAUGAUAUGUGAACAUAAUACACCAAGUAAAAAAAAUACAGAAGAAAGAAGAAAGUGCUGAGAACUUUAACUGAAGUACUGAAUGGAAAAACACACUAGCCUUCAUUAAAGAAUGCAUAGGGAUCAACUACUCUGAAAUUAGCUUUAUGGUGGGGGGAAUUUUUCAGAACUGUUGGUCUUUAUUAGGUAGGGGAUAUCUCUGGAGAACAUUCCUUUCUUUAGUCUUGAACUUCAAACCAAUUAUGUUAAUAGGCAUGAGCUCUGAUAAAUACUGUAUUAUUUUUCUUAAAAAAAUAAAAACCUCCUAACACA